UUACGACCAUAUCACAUUGGAACAUCGGUUUACGUACGAUCACCGAAGUUAAGCAACAUCGAACCGGGUCAGUACCUAGAUGGGUGACCGUUUAGGAAUGCUUGG